GACGAACGCUGGCGGCGUGCUUAACACAUGCAAGUCGAACGAUGAACCCGGAGCUUGCUCCGGUGGAUUAGUGGCGAACGGGUGAGUAACACGUGAGUAACCUGCCCUUGACUCUGGGAUAACUGCGGGAAACUGUAGCUAAUACCGGAUACGACCCUCGGCGGCAUCGCCAGGGGGUGGAAAGAAUUUCGGUCAAGGAUGGACUCGCGGCCCAUCAGCUAGUUGGUGAGGUAACGGCUCACCAAGGCGACGACGGGUAGCCGGCCUGAGGGGGUGACCGGCCACACUGGGACUGAGACACGGCCCAGACUCCUACGGGAGGCAGCAGUGGGGAAUAUUGGACAAUGGGCGGAAGCCUGAUCCAGCAACGCCGCGUGAGGGAUGACGGCCUUCGGGUUGUAAACCUCUUUCAGCAGGGACGAAGCGCAAGUGACGGUACCUGCAGAAGAAGCACCGGUCAACUACGUGCCAGCCGCCGCGGUAA
rnacentral:rRNA from 1 species